UCUUGGCUUGUUGGUUUCCUUGGACGUGCAUCCUCAGAGCGUUGGUUUCCUUGGACGUGCAUCCUCAGAGCGCUCCUCUCCCAGGUGUAGCCUCCACUACUCGGUCUUCCUGACAGCAGCACCUUCAGCUGAGCUGGUGGGCAGGAGCUCCUUAGAACACUCCCUUCCUCCCUCCGCUCGGCUCCUCCUCUCCCCACAUCGCUCUUUCCCGGCGCAGGGGCAGCGGUUGGGGCCUCAGCCUUAGUUCUUCCAGCUGAACCCUGGGAUGGCGCGGGGCUGUGGCUCUAGGAAGUAUCUGGGCCUGCACGCGGUUUGCAUCAUUGGGAGCACAGGCCUCGCCCUCUGAACUACGAGCCCCAUAACCCUUCGCGACGAGCGUUUCCCGCCUUGCCCCUGUUUAAUUUCCCAGAGGCCAUUGCAGGCCAGUCCUGCUCCUGGAGCUGCGGUUCCCGUGUUCCCAGGGUGAAUGAAGGCGUGCGAGGCGGUGCUGCUUGUACCCGGGAGAACCAGUUUCUGGCCCAAGUUCUGCUGAAAUAAGUAUAAUAUGUUUAUAUGACAAAGUUCUGGACAGUGAGAUGAAAGGACUGCAUGCAGCUGUUGCUAAGUGAGCAUAAGGGCACGAGUAUACCAUUUCUCCCAAGUUUCCACCUUCCUGUAGACUGGCAUGGGAAGAAACUAAAAGUCAAUCACUACAGCAGAAGUUCUAAAGAACUCUUUUCAUUGGCCAAGGGUCUUGAAGAAGGUGGGGUUUCCUCUCAGGAUAAAAGUCCGUGUCCAUACACCUGGCUGCAUUUCCCCUCUGGAAUCCCCUUCCACACUCUUUGUGGAAAUCAU